rnacentral:rRNA from 1 species
CCUACGGGCGGCAGCAGUGAGGAAUAUUGGUCAAUGGGCGCGAGCCUGAACCAGCCAAGUAGCGUGAAGGAUGACUGCCCUACGGGUUGUAAACUUCUUUUAUAAAGGAAUAAAGUGAGGCACGUGUGCCGUUUUGUAUGUACUUUAUGAAUAAGGAUCGGCUAACUCCGUGCCAGCAGCCGCGGUAAUACGGAGGAUCCGAGCGUUAUCCGGAUUUAUUGGGUUUAAAGGGAGCGGAGAUGGGUUGUUAAGUCAGGUGUGAAAGUUUGCGGCUCAACCGUAAAAGUGCAAUUGAAAUUGGCAGUCUUGAGUAGACGAGAAGUAGGCGGAAGGCGUGGUGUAGCGGUGAAAUGCUUAGAUAUCACGAAGAACUCCGAUUGCGAAGGCAGCUUACUAGCCUGCCACUGACAUUGAUGCUCGAAAGUGUGGGUAUCAAACAGGAUUAGAUACCCGUGUAGUC